AACGAACGCUGGCGGCAGGCUUAACACAUGCAAGUCGAACGGUUGUAGCAAUACAGCAGUGGCAGACGGGUGAGUAACACGUGGGAACCUUCCUAGGGGUACGGAACAACUCAGGGAAACUUGAGCUAAUACCGUAUACGUCCGUGAGGAGAAAGAUUUAUCGCCCUUAGACGGGCCCGCGUCGGAUUAGCUAGUUGGUGGGGUAACGGCCUACCAAGGCGACGAUCCGUAGCUGAUCUUAGAGGAUGAUCAGCCACACUGGGACUGAGACACGGCCCAGACUCCUACGGGAGGCAGCAGUGGGGAAUCUUGGACAAUGGGCGCAAGCCUGAUCCAGCCAUGCCGCGUGAGUGAAGAAGGUCUUCGGAUUGUAAAGCUCUUUUGCCAGGGACGAUAAUGACGGUACCUGGAGAAUAAGCCCCGGCAAACUUCGUGCCAGCAGCCGCGGUAAUACGAAGGGGGCUAGCGUUGUUCGGAAUUACUGGGCGUAAAGCGCACGUAGGCGGGUCGUUAAGUCAGGGGUGAAAUCCCGGAGCUCAACUCCGGAACUGCCUUUGAUACUGGCGAUCUUGAGAUCGGAAGAGGUGAGUGGAAUUCCCAGUGUAGAGGUGAAAUUCGUAGAUAUUGGGAAGAACACCAGUGGCGAAGGCGGCUCACUGGUCCGAUACUGACGC
rnacentral:rRNA from 1 species